rnacentral:rRNA from 1 species
AUUGAACGCUGGCGGCAUGCCUUACACAUGCAAGUCGAACGGCAGCACGGACUUCGGUCUGGUGGCGAGUGGCGAACGGGUGAGUAAAGUAUCGGAACGUACCAUUGAGUGGGGGAUAACUAUCCGAAAGGAUAGCUAAUACCGCAUAUUCUCUCCGGAGGAAAGCAGGGGACCGCAAGGCCUUGCGCUCAUUGAGCGGCCGAUAUCAGAUUAGCUAGUUGGUGAGGUAAAGGCUCACCAAGGCGACGAUCUGUAGCGGGUCUGAGAGGAUGAUCCGCCACACUGGAACUGAGACACGGUCCAGACUCCUACGGGAGGCAGCAGUGGGGAAUUUUGGACAAUGGGGGCAACCCUGAUCCAGCCAUGCCGCGUGAGUGAAGAAGGCCUUCGGGUUGUAAAGCUCUUUCGGCCGGGAAAAAAUCGCAUGGGUUAAUACCCUGUGUGGAUGAUGGUACCGGAAUAAGAAGCACCGGCUAACUACGUGCCAGCAGCCGCGGUAAUACGUAGGGUGCGAGCGUUAAUCGGAAUUACUGGGCGUAAAGCGUGCGCAGGCGGUUUUAUAAGCCAGAUGUGAAAGCCCCGGGCUCAACCUGGGAAUGGCAUUUGGGACUGU